rnacentral:lncRNA from 1 species
GUUUAGGCAUGUAGCUAUGAAAUGGAAAAAAGAAUAUGAAGGAAAUGUUGGCUUAUCCAAAUUAGUUGUAGCAACACUCUGAAUGAUACCGACCGUUUCUAGAGCAAAUGGUAAAGGAUUUGGUGGUUGAUAUCCGAGGUCCCAAGUUCGAAUCUUAGUUGAUUCACAUUUGUAGCUAAGUUUAUUUCUAAAUGAAAUAAACGAAGCGGGUAGCAUGCUAUCUAUCUCUCAAAAAAAAAAAAAAAAAAAAAAAAAA